rfam:Aedes albopictus isolate Foshan contig158899, whole genome shotgun sequence.
UUCCCAGCAACUCCUAUCCCUACCUCCCCGUGGUACCGGCCGGAAACUGCGAGUAACCUUAGAGACGAUCGGGUAACCAAUCCCGGUGGGAACUUUGGUCGUAGGCUGACAGGGAAGG